AACCUAGCACACCUGCGGUGUGUACCUGCGGAGGGAUCAUUAGCAAAGAGAGGGUGGGGUUGCGAGUUGAGUGAUUGACUCGAGCUCCAUCCACAUAGACUCGGGUGGGGAGGGAUGAGAGUGUUGAAUUAGCAUUGAUUCCCUCUAUUCUCUCCUCCGCCUCGAGACAUUCACGCUUGUAUUGUUUGACUGUUAUUAGUAAAUAAAAGAUUUAUACAACUUUUAACAAUGGAUCUCAGA
rnacentral:misc_RNA from 1 species